GGAACCGGGCUCGGUGGGCGUGGCGAGGGGUUGGUUGGCCCCGCCCCGCCGGCCGUUGCGCGCGCGGCGGGGCGGCGCGUGCCGCUGGGCGCGUGCCGCGAGCGCCCCCCCCCCCCCCCCCCCCCCCUCCCCGAGCCCCCUCACGGCCGGGGCGAAGCGGGAAAGGCGCGUCGCGCGCUCCCUGAGGGCUGAGGCGGGACCGGCCCCUCAGGGGAGAGCCGCGGCGGGACCCGCGGAAUCAGGGGACAGAACGAAGGAAACCCACCCUCCCCCGCCGAAGCCAGGGUUUCAUCGCCCGGUGUUCUCGGAGCGGCCUCCUUGUGAAGGCGCUGUAAGUCGGCAGUGUCGGAUUGCUCAGUUUGUUUGUCGUCCCAACACACGUAGUGAGGUGUCAGUCCAGUCAUGAUGGACAUCAGAAAGUAUUUCCCCUCCGCAUUUCUGCUCGAAAGAUGACAAGAUGGACAAGGAGGAGAAAGAAGUGCCUGUCAUUCAGCAAGGACAGCAAAGGAUCCUGAAAGCUGAACAGUGUUUCCAUUGUUUUAACACAAGCUCUGCUUCUCCACUGGAAGAUCCAAAUGACAAGGACACUGAGGGUUUCUUUCUCUUUGCUGUUUGUUUCCCUAGUAACAAAUACACAAGCUGCACUGUUAGAAUACCAUCCUUUUCUCUUCUUUUUUUUAAUUUUUUUGAAGAUCAAGACAUGUCGAGGAUCUAUUCAGUGCGCCCAGUAGCAGGUUAAGGUUGCUGGUACGAAUGAACCUCUGAUACAGCAUGAGGUACUUGAAAGUACUGCAUGUAGUCAGUGGCUGAGACAGUGAAAUAACUUUAAAAGCAUGGAAGAAAAAUGCUUGCAUCUCAAUUUCUAUACUGUUUAGGUUAUAAACUCUUAGGGUGAAAUCUGCCUUUCACAGCAGAGCUCUGAUUUGCUUAGCAAAGCAAAUGGCACAGUACUACUAUUAAAUCACAUGUAAUGUCCUAAUUGUAUCCCAUUCCUAUUAUCAUCAGUAACAUAAUGCACACCAUUUGAAUGUGACUGAUUUUGACAGGGACAACUCUCACCUAUGUUUUUGUUGUGAGUUCUGGAUUGUGAAACAUCUCUUUAAAUAUAAUUCUCUAAUGGGAGGGAGUGGUGCUGCUGUUUCCUGUUAGGAUUCUAGUUGAGGUUAUGGUAAUGGUCUGUAGUUGUGGAAUUCACUGGGUUAUGAGAACUGGAGAGAUGGAAUGCAGUCAUUGUCUGCGUGGUUUAGCACAAUAGAAAUAGAAUCAGCAGGGAAUCUAUCCAAAACCAUAAAAAGCCAUUCAGAAAACAAGACAAACUGAAAACAUGACAGGUAGAGGCAGGAAAGACCACUAGAGGCAUCUAAACUGAGAAGCAAUGUCUGGAUCAUUCUUUCCUUUGCUCCUUCAGAAUAUGUUAAGUCUCAAAAGCUUGGAGACUUUAACCAAAUUUUUUUAAAAUUGCUUGGUCUUAGAAUGUCAAAUUCUGGUUUCUCUUGUUUUAGCUGAAAGAAGACCACUGAAAGAAAAAAAAAUCUUUUUUUUUUUUUUUACACUGAUUUACCUUCUUUCCUACAUGCUUGCCAUGCAUGUGAGCUUAGUAAUGAAAAACAAAAAAUCUGAUCUUCUUUUCAGAGUUACUUAGGUUUGUAACAUUGUGUUCUCCAAAGUUCUCCAAGGAAAAGAAAUACGCAUUUAUUUCUCUGGAUGUGGCCGCAGCUGGUCUAGAGAGUGUAAUGUAGAAAUAACUGACAAAAUUAAUAUCAAACUUCUGAUUAUAUAACACAAAGAUAUUACAUUAUGCAUUAAUUGUAAGCCAGCUUUUUUUUAGGUCAUAAAUUAUACUGGUAUUUGUCACAGUGUAUUUUACUUACAUGUCUGGAACUGCAUGUAUAGGGAGGUAUUUCAGGUGAGCAAAUAAUUUAGUAUCUUUUCAUUUGGGAUGUUUUUUGAAAUCAGUAGAAGUGACUAUUAAAUUGUCCUACGUAUGCCAAUGUAAAACCUGCAAACCCAGAAAAGAUGCAGUGGAACUGCAUCUUCAGUGUAUCAGGGAAUAUCAAGCAAUAUGAUCAGCUGUCCUGAAAUACUUUGAUGUCUCAAGCUAUCCUCAAGUGGAGAAUAGGCAGAAGAAUUUAUUCAGGGGCUAUGAAUCAAACAAAUCUGUAUCAUGCUUUUUAUAUGAUGUAGACAUCUGCUCAUAUACAUAUAAAUGGGUGUGAUGUGGAAAAAAGUAUCAGCCAGUUCUAGAUACCUAAUUCAGAAGAAUAUAUAUUCUCUCUAAUCAGAUGGUUGAAAUACACCCCACCAGAGGGCAAUUUGUCAUCUGCAAAAUCUGCAUUGCUCUGUUCAUCCCCACCAUCACUGUAGAAGAUCUACUUUAUCUAUUGUGUGGCUUUUGAAAUAGCAAAACCAGAUGUUAAUUAAACUUUUCUAAUGUUCAGACUGACAGAUGUACAAGUGUCCUGCCUAAGGCAGAGAAGCUCACCAGGGAAUUAGCCAGCAUACAAACCCUUCAAGCUUCAGCAUGCCUUAGUAGCUAGGUUAAAUUCUAUUUAUUUUCCCCCCUGAAUUUGUUUUUUAAUACUUAAAUAUCAACUUUCACUAGAAAAUCUAGACCUUUCUCUUCAGGCUAACAGUAAGAGUUGAGUUUUGUUAUAUAUUUCUUUUGGUUUUUAAACAAAAAUAUAAGGCCAACAAAAAGAGUCAUCUUGAUAUAAGCACAGUAAUGAAAAUGGUGAUCAUAAGAACAAGUGACAGCCAUUUUUAUUGUUGAAAAUUGGUUUUUGUACUAACCAAGCUGUGGAGAGGUGAAGUUGUGUCUGUCCUCAGAAGCAGAGGCAGCUGCAGGAACUGUGAGCUACUCACCAGACUGGGUAAGUGGGGAGGCCCUGCAACUGUUUGUUUCUGCUUUUCCUGCUGGCUGUUGUUGGCUUUGCUGAAAGCCUCAAGAGCAGAACAGACAAUUGUAGAUACACGUGUGUAUCCCUCUUUCUCUCAAACUGACAUGUUUUUCUAAUGGGAGAAUUUAUAAAGGUUCCAUUUGUGUUUGUAUCUGGCACCGACAAUCAAUUACAACUUCUGGAACUGGAGGAUUCACAGGUCAGGACCAAAAGGUGAGAUAAAGUAAAGCAAAGUCCUAAAAGUGGGUGAAGUCCAAACACGAGUGUUUUGACUCAUUCUAAUAUGCUUUAGACUGUUACAAAAAAAGAUUCAGGACCAAAAAGCAGUACCAAAAAUAUACAUUAAAAGGUCUCUCUAUUUUAAUUAAAACUGUAGAUCUAGGCAGUGGUUUAAGGUGCACAUUAUAUCUCUCAGUCCUAACUCUAGAAUUGCAAAUCUUACUGUCUGUGUGCAAUCUACCUCAAAUAUCUGUGUAUGGGAAAUAAGCAUAAGCAUUUUAUGUAUCAAAUACGGACUUGUUCUAAUAGUUAACAUCGUGAAAGCAUACCAGAGAUGGAAAACAGGAUGAAACAGUAGGCAGUCUUUACAUUUGUCUGCGACCUGUUUCAGAAGUCACUAUUUGGACCUAAUUUCUGAUGAUGAAAAUGCACUGGUGUAAGUGACUGAACUGGACACAAUCUGUCAGUGAACAAGAGCCCUACCUACUAUCUGUUACAGUAGUUCUGUAACCUCCCCCUCACCUCUGAAAAGGAAGCAGUAGUUAUUUUAAGAUGUCCCAAGCUGCUUUGCAAAGGGCAAUGUCUAGAUCAUAUCCAGAGCCUGAAAAGACAGAAGUAUUCUGAGCCCCUGCUGGUGGCUGGGUGAUUGUGAAUGCAGAGGGCGGGGGGCUGUGCCUUCAGCGAGGCUGUACGCAGGAAUCACACUGCACUUACCAGAGACUGGAAAUGGCAGCAGCAGUUUUCCAGCUCUUCACUCCGGGUAAGUAAAUUGCACAGUGCAGGGGAAUAUUUAGUAUGCAAACAAGAGUGGCAGCACAAUAAACCAGCACAACAAACACGUACAAACUAAUUGCACUUGAUGAGGACUCUAGCAUUUAAGGCACAAAAGCUGAUGCUGGCAGGGAUUGUCUGCAUUUAGCAGUAAAGAAGGCAGAAGACAUGUUUCUCUGAGGCAAAAGGAAAAUGUAGUAGAUUAAAGAGAACUACAUAAGCUUUUCAAUGUACAUAUGCAUAUUAAAAAAUCCACCUUUAUGCAGAAUUGUCAUCUAUUUCAUGCAGCUACCAUCUUCUUGGCUGAUUGUUGGCCAGCUGUUGCUUAUCUGAGAAGUUAAACCUGUGCUUUGUGAGCUGUAGAAAAGUAGAGAUUAAUUUUCUGUUGAUACAUGUUUUGUAAAAUCACAUUCUGCAUAUGCUUGCCUAUAUAUGCAAAACAGUUGGCUAGAGGCAGGGAUUCAACUUUUUCUGUUUUAGGAUUGUUCAGUUUCCUUUUGUUUUCUUUCCUCUCUGAGAUGUGUUUCUCAUCUUAAAACCUAGACAUAUUUCCAUCUUCGUUUUCUAUCCUGUCCAGAUUAGGGCAUCCAGCACAAGCAUAUUCUGUCGUUUCACAGAUAACUAGAGCCAGGGGAUUACUGUAAUCACGUGGUACAACUCACUGCGAGACAGAAGCCAUGUGACUAGUGAUACUACUGGUCAUUUAAACCUCAGCAUCCCCUAGGGAAACCUCCUAGAAUAUCCUGUCUCUACAAAUUGUUAAUUCCUACUUCCAAUCCUUAAUUACUCUCAUUGACAAAUAUAUACAUAUUUCUCCCUUGAAUGUAUUUAGUUUUAUCUUUCAGCUGUUUUUUCCUUCAUCUCUGUAAGACAGAGGAGACAAUAGGACUCACUGUAGACAUAAGAGCAAGUCAUCCUUUUGAGUAAUAGCAUUUUAUAAAGCACAUUUUUCAUUUUCUAAGUUGUUUCUGUAUCUCUUCUCAGAACCUUCUCCAAGUUAUCAAAUAGUUUCUUGAGCUGUGGAUUCCAGCAGCCAUUUUUGUCCCUACCAAGCAUGGACUGUCCUUUUCCUAUUUAGACAGUCACAUUAUCAUAUCUAUUUGUUCACUUCAUUGCCAUUGAUUUUUCAUUGGGAUCCCCAAAGGUGUUUCAGAAUUGCUGUUCCCACUUCAAAAACAGGAAUACCUGCCUAUUCCCACCUUUCUUUCUAAGCAAGGAGAUUUUUGAAAAGUUUAAAGCCCAGAGAAGCCUUAUAGAGAAUGAAACAAAAUCUCGCUGAGUGUAUUACCUUCCCUGGAUUACCAAUAGCAUUCCAGAUACAUCAGUGACACUGAGUUCUUUUUUCCUUAACUUCUAACACCACUUUCAAUAACUUAUUGGGAGCACAUAGUAACACUUCUCUAAUUGCUUAAAUGAAAGUUAAGCAAAUUGCUUAAAUGAAAUUAGAUUUGAAAAUCACUGAUGUAUAAGAGAAUAUAAGCAAAAUGGACUUUUGGGAAGAGAUUACAUGGUAAUUGGUCUAAUAAAAAUGUUAGCCCACCCUAAACAUCCCGUCUUAGAGAUUUUUUAAGACAAUGAUAGCUUACAUAAUGCUAAGAAAAUAUAUCUGUUACCAAUCCAUCAGCCUCACAGCAACUAUUCUAAUAUAGUUAGCUGUUUGAAUAAACAAUAUAGGAAAGAUAAAAUGAGUGCUACAGAUGUUUAACUUUGGUCUUUUCUACAAGCAGUACCAUUGUGCAGAUCAUAAGCUGUACAAACAUAUCCAUUUUUAAGUCAAAAGGAGUGGGAAUGUGACCUCCUGUUCACUUUAAUGAAGAGUUCUGCUACUGAGGAUCUUACUGAGAGGGGAAAGCAAACCCAAAGUUAGCUAACCGAUGGUAAAAACAUUUUCAGCUUGUUAGUGUUUUCUCCUGAAUCAGGCCAGACAUACCAUACAAAUUAAAACCUUGGCCACACUCAGGACGCAUCUCUUUUCAAGAACGACUAGCAGUUCCCCUGGAGUUUUUCACAGAAGACAAAUUUCAUUUCAUUUUCAGAGGUUUCCUUAGUAAAGCAAUACUCCAGGAAAAAACACAUUUUGAUUAGGAGGAUUGAGUUCCCGUGGGAGUCAGGCUAUUGUUUACAGGGCAUCACACUAUUCUCUGGAAUUAUGUGAAGACAGAUUUAAAGGGCUGAUUCUUUUUGCAACGUUGAGAUGAAUACACGAAGUAAAAAGUAAUGUUGGCCAUGGAAAUUUUCUGAGAAGGACAAAAAUAAAAGCUUUUAUUGGUAUGAGUCUAGUGCAACUUUGAAGCUAAGUGAGGAGACUGAAGAGAAGAACAGUAAUAACAGGAAAAAAACAUAGAUGCUCUGUAACUAUCAGAGCACAGGGUUGUACGCUGUAACUUGACACAGCAGGCAGGCCUAACUGCUGAAUUUCUUUUUAAUAACUUAUCUAAAAAGUGUCUGAAAAGAUUGCUGAAAGGAGAAUGUACAGAGCAUUCCUGUCUUCCUGUCCUGCUCAUUGGGAUUUUCACUCUUAUAAGUUCACUGUGGUAGCUGCUAGAGCUGCCUCUGCUGAUUUACUGCUUGUAUUGACACAUUUGAUUCUCUAAGAUUAAUUAACUCAAGGGCCUUAAUUGCCACCCUUUAAUUUUUCCCUCGCCUUAGUCUUUCCUACUUUCUUUUUCUAAAGUCAGUGUGCUGGCUUAAAAGUAAACCGGUGGGAGAAAUGAACCCAACUCUAGAGAGACUAUAAGUCAGAGUCACAAUUUACUAAAAAAAUAAAUUACAAUAGAUGAAACGAUACAGAGAAAAACUGGUUUUAACCCACAAAAACAGAUGUAUAACCCAGCUCUCUAGGACAAGAACAGAACAGUGUUCAUUAGCCCCUGUGCUGAGCACCACGUGGCUCCCCUGGGUGCAAAGUAAAAAGAAAGGAAAACCUGUUGGUCCAGAUGAUGGUGGCAGUUCUGCUGAGAUAAUGAUCCUGUCGAGAGUGGCAGUCGUGUUGGAGUUCUGGUCCUCCUCUCGAUCCAGGAGUGGUACCAGAAGUCUCAAACCCCCAAGAGUAUAUGUGCUCAGGUUCAGGUGGGAAUGUCCAGCACCUCCCUCAGGGCAGGGAGUUUCCCAAUGGGCGAUUUAACUCUGUGAAUCUUGGGAUAUUUUUGGAGGCUUUGAUGGUCUGGGUGUUGCAGCUGCCUGUUCUGCCAGUCCGGUAAUGGCCCAUUAGCAGAGACGGCCCCUCAGGCUGGGUGUGAAGGUGCUAAUCCCUCCCCGGAGGGGAGUUAUCACAGCUGAGUCAUUAGGUGUGCUCUGGGCAGCUGCUGCAAAUGAUCCAUUAUUAACAGUCCAUCAGAAAUGACAGAGGGUGUGGAAUCCACAGUCCUGGUUAUACCCACGUGGUAAUAAACUGGUCCUGGCCCCUGUAACUAGGACAGUCAGUUAAUUCCAUAAACCCCUGGAGAAUGCAACUAGGUCUAAAGACUAGUUUUACUUAGAGUCAAGAAAGAAGCAUUAGUGAUUUUUAUUUUUCUUGAUCAGAUUACCUGUACGUUUCAUUUGUGGAUUGGAAUGAGUUAGAUAUCAAUUCUAUACCUUAAAUACUAGAUAUUUCUGAUUUUUGUUUCUCCAGUGGAUUUUUAUUUUCUCCAAGUCUAUCUCAGUAACUCAGAAGUGAACAAUCCUCUUAAAGCUGCUGAAGGAUUUGGAGACAAUACAGCCUGAAACAUUUUCUGUAACUGGGAAGGUGUGCCUGGAACUGUACUGGCUCCAUCUUGUGGCCGAAACUGUACGGAUUCUUUUGUAACAGGUUGACUCUUCUCAUCAUCAGCCUUAUAUAAGUAUUGAUAAAUAACUGUGUGUGAACUUCCUUUAUAACUUUUAGAACAAACGGGCCAAGUGUUUCUGAUAACAGAGAAAUGGGGAGACAGGUUAAGGACAAGAUCAGCUCAGGCAAGCACUGCUCGUUUCCCUGUGCAGCACUAUCAAUCACAGCGUUUGGUCACACCCUCCCCCUUACCUUUAGAGGAGCCUCAGCCAGGGAGAGGGAGAACAAGCAUCCACCCGCACUUUUUGACUCCAACAAAACCAGAUACUUUUCAAUUAACCUCUUCCUGCCAUCCCUGAACUAGAAGCAGUGUAUCCAGAAGUGCCCUGAUUUGGCUGCUCGACCACCCAAACCAUGAACUCAGCACAGCAAAGGGCAAACCACACAGCAGGAAUUACAGAGGGCUGCCAGCACCCAGGCACACAGCUCAGCUAGUCCCUGGUUCAUAGCCCAGUCAGGUAUGUUCACAUUUUGGUGUAUAGCACAACUAUAUAUUUUCUUCCAGCCGCAGUAAAGGUAAAUAGUUCACUUUUAGCACCUUCAGUGCUGGCAGCAGGAAGGCAGUGAGCUACCAGGGCGUGCUGGAUAUUCUGUUCUGUUGGGUAUCAGCUUGUGUGUUGCUGGAUAGAGCUUCUAAAAGGCACAGUAGAAACCGCAUUCAUCUCUCUAAAAAUAUUCCAGAGAUGCGAGAUUGCAGAGAUAAGAGAAUACAAAUUAUAUUUCCAGAAACUGGUACAGGGUUGAUUACUGGUUAUGAGGCAGGAUAAGGCUAGCUGCACAUGUAUUUUGGAAGUCUUAAUAUAAAAGACACAUCCCAUGAUCCCUAUGAUGUGGAAGUAAAGAAAGUGCCUGUUUCCAAGGAGUCACAGGCCCCAGCAAAAAAAAAAAAUAUGCCUGGUAAGAACAGCCUCUCUUGCUAUGUCAUACACAGCAUCCAUGAUAUCCAAGGGUGAGCGACAAAGCAUCUUCACUCUGUAAUGUCAGUGCCAAGCUGAAGCACAUUCCAUAUCUAGAAUGACAUUUUACAUCCCCUGCAGAUGUGCUCAGAAAUCGGAAAAAAAGUGCAGGUUUGCAAGACGGGCACAGAAGGAGUUAAUAGUGUCAAAGUCUCAGUCUUCUACUGUACAUCAUAUGCAUUUCAUAAAGCAAAUUUGCUCAGAGCUGUGAAGAACUCUUUGCUACAUUUUGUACCAAGAAAAAAUAUGUGCAUUAAGUGUGCCACUUGGUCAGAAGGCACCAUGCACACAGUGCAGACCCAGUGGGCUCUGUGCUGUGCCACACAGCUGCUGAAGGCUCACUCUGCACUGCUCUGGUACUCAUGUGUCUGUCACAAUGUUUUCUGAGCCUGGGCAGUUUUUGUAGCCCAGGAAGGCAGCACAGGGAAGAGCACAGAAGAGGAAUGGAGUGGCUGGGCUGUUGCAGCCAUGGCAUGGUUAGUGUUUUAAAUGCCUGGCACAAGGGUGGGAGGAAGCUAUAAAAGACCCUCUUACAUCUGCUCGAGACAGCAGCAUCCAACUGUGCAUAAAAGUUCCCAGGCAUGUGUCAUAGAGUGUAAUAACAAUUACUUAAAAUAAAGACAGAGGUAAUGCUGCUGCUUCCCAGUGCAGGUAAUGCAAUGCUUCAGCAGUGCACAGGAUGGAAGGUAACAGAGGGGUGAAAUGCAAAUAUUGCAAUGCCAUCUCAACCAGUAUCUGAGUUCUGGAGAGGCUGGCACUCAGGUGGAUCAUAUCCACACUAGCUGGGGGUCACAGUCUUCGGAAUCCUUUUCUGCAUCAGUAUAGUGCAAAAAAGUUCUGCUAAUGCUGGCAUGCCAUGCAAAGCAACUGUCACAGAUGCUCUUGUCCUUUGCUUUUCUGAAACCCAUUUUGUGUCCUGGGUUUUUGUUUUGUACUCCCUGGGAUCCUUGUCAAGACCCUGUUCAGCUAGAAAUAUCUACAUUCCAGUGCCUCAUUUCUGGGGUAUCUCAAACAUUUAAGUUCUGAAAAAAAGUCACCUGAGGCCUCUGCAAAGCUCAAGGGGCCACAGGACACAACCAAACCAGUUGCUCUGGCAGGAGCCCACAAGCACAAGGCAACGUAACUGAUACUCGUCCUUUUGUGAGGUCAAAGAAUUGCAGAGCAGACCGUGUGCCUGUCUGAGAAGGGGGGAAGCAGGGCAUGGAAACCUUCAGUAAAGUUGGAACCAGCAUCAGUAUCCAGAAACUUACUGCUGCUAAAAACAAGAUUCUGCAAUCCCUGGGAUUUGUUACAAGAGCGAAACAAGUGUCACAUCCAAGCAGGGGGCAUAAAACACAGCAACAGUCUAGUAAAGGUAAUUUUUCAUGUUACAAGCUAUAAUGGUGUUCUCUUAGUCCUUUAUCUUGAAUUGCUUUUUUGAUACUUCUGCCAGGAUGUGUGAAGCGGGUGGAUGGACACGUGAAGAACAGAUUGUACAAAGUUUGACAAGCCUAACUAGCAUAAUAAUCAUAAUUAAUAUUCAUAUUAAGAAAGUUCCCAGUGCUGCUGUGCUUCAUUCCUUUCAUGGUGGCGUGCUUUAUUUGUAGGUGGAUGGAAUUGCCUGGACCCACACCAGAAAUUGGGGAAAAAAGGGAAGAAUUAUCAAAUCAGUCAUACGCAACAAAAUUUUCUUUUAAUCCUCAUUUAUACUGCCUUGACCAGUCAUAGGGCACACCCACUGUGAGAAUCAGACUGCUUAAAAAAACCCAACACAACAAAUAACCAAAUACAAAAGAACCCCAAAACCUACCACAUAAAGAUAUAAAUCAUUCCCUUACAGUUUCAGAGGUACGUUCACGCUCUAACCUGUUGCUAGGUUAGCCUUUGACAAGCACUGGAGCUAUAAUUCUGGAAGACUUAUAUUUUUCAGAACGCUAGAGGAAUUAUUAUAAAUUUGCGUGUUUGACUGUCAUCAGCAAGGUUUUUAUUUGCAUAAAUGCUAUUCAUGGCAGCUUUCCCCCAGCAGAUGGCAUGAGUACAGCCCGUGAUCAUCCCGACAGCUCUGCAGUUACUGGGCCAGGCAGGAGAGCUUUGAAGCACAGAGCCUAAGCUACGGUAAUGCUUUUCCACCUCCUUCGACAGCUUUUACUUGGAUUUUCACGGAGGCAAGGUUUCUAGUGGCAGGCUGAAUGAAAGGUUUCAUUACAUCAUUUCUAGGGUCAAUUUUAUCUCUGUUCAUUUUUCUGGAGACUAUUAUAUCACCCUGUUGCUGAAAAAUCUGAUGAAAACAAAAGUGAUCCAAGGAUAAAUUUCAUGUCUAAAUCUCUGACUUGGGCUGCUGUAAGAAAACCACCACGGCAUUGGAAAAACCACUGAGCAGUGUUGUAACAUUGCUAAUUCCCAAGCCCUGGAAGCUGACAGCCCGUGGUGUAGUCAGGGUACAGCAGCAGGGUAUAGGAAUUGUGCUCAUAGGAGAGCAUGAGCUGGGUUUACACUAUCUAUUUCCCCCAAGCUUUUUAGAUAUUAGCUAGCUCUUCACUGCCCAGGGAGGUGCAAAAGGUAUAUGGAUGUAUUUAUUAUCCUUGAACAGGUCAUACAAAGAGCGUAAUUUUUACUAGUUUACCUGAAGAUUAUUUUAUUCACAGGCAUGGAAGGCUUCACUCCUUCUGCUCCAAAAUCAAGUACAGUUAGCAAGGCAGGAUCACUGAAAUGCAAUCACACCUCUUUUCACAGUGAAAACUACUAAUGUUCGAGUGAUUCAUACAUUCAAGUAAAAUGAAAAUAUACACAUGCAAAAUUUCAGUAAUUUAACAUAAAAAUGUCUUUGUGAAUCCACUCUCAGAGCAAGUGAAUGCCAAGACAAUUCUUGAGAAUCCUGAAUGAGCACCUUAAGAGCUGAAAUGGACUCUCCUGGUUAAUUAAUUGCUAUCUUUGUUUGAGGAGGAGUGUGGCAAUUUGAAGACAGAAAUGUUCAUACAAGAAAUGCCACAGGCUUCAUUGUUGCUGCCCACCUCAAUACCCACCAAACCUGCCUGGGUUAUAAUCAACACCUUCAGACAAUCCCUGUUGCAUGCAAGGAUUUCAUUCUUUCAAGUGCAUUGAUCUGGAGACAUUUCUGGUUUCCAGUUCCUUUUUUUUGUCAGAUUUAAUUCAAAAGCUAUCAUGGACAUGACAUUUUAUUCUGAAAAGGUUGUAUUUGUUUGGAGUAUAUUUAUUCUUUGAGCUAAAUGUUCAGUUUAAUAUGCUUGCCAUAAAUGAACUUUAUUACCCCGUAUGGUAAGAGGCCACAAGCCCCUCAAAGCACAAAGUGCUUUGAGAAACCCUUUGAUCCACAUCAAGUGGAACUGUCUCCAGAUAAAUGUUUCCAUGUGCUAUUUGCCUUUUAAUUCACUUAAAUACCUUUGAAAGACUCAGGCUCCUAGGGACUGUAUGUAACAGUUGCAGGGAAAGAGAUUUAAAGGGAAGAAAUAGGUGAAGAAUUACAAAGUUGCAGUGAACUCUGCUUCCAAAUGAACUUAAAGAGUGGAAGAAGGACAAAAAUCUCAUCAGUCACAGCAAGGCAUCAACAAGCAUCAUAAUUUGGUCUGUACCAACAGGAAAAACAAGGGGAUGAAGCCAGAGGGCCAUGGAAGAGGCUGAUUCCACAUGGAAGAGGCAGCCCGACUGGAGGAACAGUGCUAAGGGCCCGUGUUUCCCACAGCAGAUCCCUCAGCUCCUCCGCCCCACCCGCCAUGCUCAGGCAGCUUCUCAGGAAGAGCCUGCUGCCAUGGUGUGGAGUAGGAAGUGGGUUUUACAUGCAUACACAAGAAGCUGACUGGAGCCUCAGGCAGCUGGGAAUGACAAGUUGCUUCUCCCGUUUGAGUAUUUCCUUAAAGUAUUCCAUAGGACUGGCUAUUCACUCCCCAAGGAAAAGGCAUGAAACCCCUUAAAUCUACUGCUGCACCACCCAGUGACAGGCUCUCCAUUACACAUGGACACAUGUAUUCACAAAAGCAAAUUGUACUAAAGAGCUUCACACCUGACUGCUCAUUUGCAUCUCCUCAGGACUGAUUUCUUGGAGAGGGAGGGAGCUCCUGAGCAUGUCCUCCCCCACUCCCGGCAGUCCCGCCAUCCCUCUGCCCCAGACCAGCCACUGCUGACUUUGACAACCCCAGAGAGAGCACAGCAGAGCAGCCUGUCUAUUUUCUUAACUAAAACACUGCACUUGAUGUUCUCUGCACAGGUCAGACCUCUUCCACUCUUUUCCACGACCCUCUCACUUGGAUAGGAAACAGUCAGUCCUUUGCUAGUGCCAACAGGCUCCAAGGACAAAACACCACCCCAGCAACAGCUUCCUCACCAGCUUCCAACCAUAAGUAAUCUUGGGUUCUGUACUCACUAUACAAAUGGUUAGAGGUAUUUACAUAAAACUCUAUUACUGCUCCACUGACAGUCUGACAGAAGGGCUACUUUGCUGUCAGUUGGCAAAUGACAUGGUAAAGUUCCUGCCUAGAAUGCUGUCAGUGCUGGCGUUGCCUGGAACCUGUUAGUAGGACCAGAUUGCUGCGGAGGCUGGUCAGCAAAAGGCUCCUUUUAAAAGGCACGGGCUUUCUAAUCAAGUGCCGUGCACAAGUCCUCCAGGGAAGCACAGUGAGGGCCGACAGCUGAGGUGGGGUCACACACGGACAGAGCAGCACCACAAAGAACUUGACCGUGUGUUUACAGUAAUUUUAUUUACAAGUUACCACAUGACACCUGCAGUACUACAUUUUUAACACCACUAGCAGUAAAAUAAGUCACAUUUAAGAAGAGUAGGAGGCAGCAGAGAAAAAUAUGCACAGAGAAUGCAGGAAAGCUAUUUAGUUGUAACUUAAAGCAGGUAUUUUUCUACAGACUUUGAAAGCGAGGAGGAAUACACACAUUGAGAAGAGCAAGUUCUUCAGCCCUGUUAUUUCUACAGCACAAGUACAGUGACAAUUCAGUAUGAUGACUACCACACUAGCAGUCAAAUGCAAGUGAUGGGAGAGAACUGCCUUAAUAUCUUGUCCUUUUGAGCACUAAGAAACGAAAACCAAAGCUUCCCUCUGAAAGGAGUCAUCAAGGGCUCAUUUACUUGCAGAGCAAGUAGUGCAGAAUUGCUACUGGGGCAGGAGGGAACAGAACUCAGGACUGGAGAGUUCCCAAGUUUUGCAAAUUGCCUGCAAGGUCUUAUCUGGUCUUGAAUUAAGUAGUUGGUGAGCAAAACCAGUUGCAGCAUUCCACAAGUCUUUUUACAGUGCUGUGCUCUAAGGCACAGCUUAGCAGAAUCCCAAAAUCAAGCAGAGAAAAAAGCCCUUCCGCUCUCUUAAAAUCCUUGGCUCUAGUGAUGCUGGUGUUGAGCCUGGGCCUUUCUCAAAAGGAAAAAUGUGGAGGAGCAAAUCCGGAGAAACACUCUAGACCUGGAUGUAUUCUGAUGAUAAGACUCACAAGAAAAUAAGCUUAAAGCAGCAUCAGGUGUGACCCUUUUCUGCUUCAAAGCAGCAGCUUCCAGAAAGCAAAUAAGUGUUAUCCAGGACCUGUUUUUCCCCCCAGACAUCUUUAAUAGCCUGGAGCUACUGUCAAUACACAUGAUCCAUGCUAGAGGCUGCAAAGACAAUGAGAAUACAAGCUGCACAGUAAUAAUUAUUUCCACUACUAACUACACACAGGAUAUAUUGCUUUUGGUACAAUGCCAUUUAUUGUCACAAGAAGAAAACCAGUGAUUAAGUUGAGCACACAUGAAUUAUGCAGACCUUUGCCAUGCUGUAACAAGCGUAUUUUACUUACAGAAAUGUCAACAAAUCAGCUGUAAAAACAGCUUAAUACAGUUCUUCCAAAAUACUGAACAUACCCUCAAAAACAAGUUUAUAAAUUAAGUUUAGCUACAACAGAAUAAGAAAUGACCAGUUUUUUUUUCUUAAUCCCCACUUUUGUUUGGAGCUGCACUUACUCUGCAUGAGAGCAAACACGGAAUCAAAACGCGGAGCUUUAGUGACAGCAACAACAUCCACUGAAGUGCUUCUGAGUGUGCAAACUGGCCUGCAAGUCUGGGUUCCCUCCACACCCGUGGCACACCUAGUCAGAAAGCCUGCAAAGGUACACGUGUACAAAAACUAACACAAAGCUUUUCAAAUACACAGAAUACAUUACAAGGUCUUGAGUCUAUGAUGUCUCAACUACAAGUUAGAAUAUCUGUAAGUUUUUAACUUCCAGGAACAUAGAAAGGUUUUUUUAGUCAAAAUUUCCCUUUAAGUACAAGCUAUUGAAAUUAAAGGUGACCUAGGAGAAAGGCUUGACUAAAAAAUCUUCCAGCUCUCUUAUGAUACCCUCAGUUCAGUCUCAAGCCAAAAUUCAAAAUAUUCAGCAUUUUGGCAUUUGUAGUUUUAAGGCAGAAAAACAUCUUCUCAACAAGCCAUUUAGUCUUGGAUGUUAUAAAAAACCACAACAAAACCAAACAAACAAACAACUCCCCCUAAAAAGUGCAUCUCAAGUCUUUUAGUAAUAGUAAAUUUAAAAUAAUUGCCUGGCAUUCCCUUACAGCUUUUGGUUCAUUAUUUUUUUGCUAAAAAUCCUGAAUUUUCAGACAUGCUGAAGCACACACACAUCGUGGGUAGAGAAGACUAGUUUUCCAUUCUUAUUUCUAGGUUGUGCAUUUAAGGUCAGCAUUAAACUCGGCAGUGGAAUAACAGAUCUCUGCACUGCCAACUCUGGUGCCGCCCCAGGCACGUGGGACCGACCCGCACCGGAGCUGCUCUGCACUAUCCACACCUCCUCCCCAGAGCCAGCAGCUUAACCAGGGCCCUGGGCUCAGCUGCCUGUACCCAGGCUCAGCUCUGUGAAGCACAACUGUGUCCUUAGCUCAGCUUUACAGAAAAAAGUUAAAAAGCAAAAGCCAAACUGUGAGACCGUAGGAAUCUCCAAGUGUGCAAGGUAAGGAAAAGUAAGAACAAAGGAGUGAAGUAAUUGAAUCAGUCAUAGCAGAUAAGGGACUCUGGAGAAAAGUACCAACACAGAAAGUGUAAACCCCUGAGGAAGAGCAGUGUCACUGCAAGAGAACUCAGCGAGAUCAAAGGUCAGCCCAGUCCAAGCAGCAAGGGAAGGAGAAAGGGAGGAGCAGGAUUUCAGUCAGCAGCUAAGUGCACACAAACUCACAGACUGGGAAGAUAAACGAAAGGGUUUUUAACACUGUCUUUUUGAUGAGAAAAUGCUGCAAUACCCUGUUAAGGUAUUUCUUGCUCUUUUCAGGGAAAUCAGGAAUGGAAUACCUUAAGGCUCCUCUUUUCAGCCUUCAUGCACAAACAUAAGCACAAUGAAAAGCCAGAAGGAUCACACAUCUCUCUACCACACUAAUUAAUUAGAUGGAAAGAGGAGGAACGUCAGGAAAAAUGGGCUCUGUGUGUGUGCUGAGAGGAAGAUGAGAGGCAACUCUGGGGAAGUAGCAGGAAGUUUUCAGUAUUCACAUGGUAUUCAAGUGUUUAGUCAAAAAGAGAAAAGCUUGAACCAGGGACUGCUGGACUUCAGGCAAAAGUUCCCAACAACCACCCCAAUGGAACUCGGUUUCAUGGCCCAUGUUAGCCAAACGCAUUGUUCCUUCCUGAUCCUUAUCUCUAUUUUUAUACUGCCUUCCCAGAAAUCCACGUACAGUUACCAGAUCACAUGCUGUGCUUCCACAGGAAGAGUCUCAGGAGACCUUCCAGCUUUUUUGCUUACCUCUACCCUGGAUUUACAUGAGUUUAAGUAACGUGAUCAAUCACCUGUUGUUUGUCAUCAGGAAGCUCACAAAUCCUAUAGAAGAAAGACUUUUUGGAACAACUGGAACUUGUUCAGACGGAGUUCAAGUGCAAAGAGAAAAGUAAAUUGUCAGUAGUGAGAUAUACUGAAAAAACAGGCAGAGUUCUGGAAAACACCUGAAGGAAAGUUGUCAGUAUAAUUUAUAAAGGGGAAAGACAGAGGAGUUACAGAACAAUUCUCGCAUAUAACUCCCAAGAUCAGUCCUCACAUGAACAGCCAUGAGCAGGGCUGUGAUGGGAUGUGAACACCGGCACCUCUGGCACCUUGCCCAGCACCAGGGGGCUGUUUGCAGACUCACCAAAGCUGCCCUUGGAACCGGAGCUGAGGCUCUAGAACUCCUCUGAAGCCUGGAGAGUCACGUGUGGUGAAAAGACACAUCAGAGCAAGAAAACCAUCAACAGACACGGCACACUUGGAUGCAAUGAUGUUUGUAGGUCUUCUACACACCUCAAAAUUUUUUUUAAGCUUGUCAAGUGUAACAUAUGUGCAAUUUAGUAGAAAGAAUAACUGAAGAUGACAUGCAUGACACAGAAGCAUCUUUGGUCUGUAGAGAAAUACCUGGGUCAGAGCUCUACAAAGCUUGAUGCCAUCAGACCUACACUAGUAUCUCUUCCAAUAAGUAGGGCUUGUACUCCUUGCCAGCCUUCCUGAGUAUUCGAGUGCACCGCCUGUCCCAGCACAGGCAGCUCAGCUUCCAGAACAUGGGGGCUCUCCCUGGAACCACCAGCCCCUGCCCAAUCCACACACCCAGCUCGGGCUCCAACAGUCCAAGAGUGCCCACUACACUUGAAGAUUUACAGAUGGAGAGGAUCAGCCUCCAGUUCUGGUGAAAUACAGAAAAUCUGCGUGGUAUUUCAAACUAACCUGACUGAAACAACACGACAACAUGAAGUCGGCCAGGAUCCUGUCAAAACCUCCACGGAGCCAAGCUGCAGUGCGGCCAUACCCUGAAGAACAUGCUAUGGUGAACACACGUUCUGCCAGGGGAACAGCCACAGCCAACAAAAAGUAAGAACACACAUAAACCCAUCUAUGUCAAGAAUCAAAUUCUGUAGUAUUUUGGGAAAAAAUUCUGUAUGCUGCAGUGAAAGCCAAAGAGGGGAUGCAGAGAUGCAUUUUGACAAGCCAAUUCUCAGAGCUGUAACAGAGCUGUCAGUUACAGCUAAGCUCUCUUUACUUUCAGGUCACAUUUUCUGUGUUUUCAUAUUAAUUAGAGAUGUUUCUAGCUGACAUUAUCCAGCUACAUCUUUCAAGAGUUCAGUUCUUUGGCAUAGUCUGAUUUUAGGCUAAAAAAAAUUCAAAAAAAUUAAUUAAAAGCCUAUGACAGUGAUGUAACUUACUUGCACUUCUCCCAGAAACCCCACAUUUUAAGCCCAUGGUCUGCGAAGAACAUUUUUGUACUGAAAUGAUGAAAAAAUGGUCUCUAAGGGUUGUGCAAGUAGCAAUUUUCGAGAUUUCGUGGGAACAGUGUAAUAACCAUAUAAAGAGUGUCAAAAAAGCCUGUGACCAUCAGAUACACUGGAAUCAAUUCGCAUCACUGUGCUCACCAAGUCAAAAUGCUGAUGAUUUCCUUGCACAAAAGAUAAAACAUUUCUGCCUGUCUAUAAAGAAACUUCACCUGUGGUUUGUUUGGAUGGCUUCCCUAAUUUAAUUACAAACUGGUACAGUUCUACAGUGAGACACACACUCUCUUGAGUAUUUACAAACACUGACUGCAGGCUGCUUCUUGUGCAGGGAGGGUCAGUUUUGGAUAAGCCAAUAUGAUCCACCCCAGCCUCUGGACCAGCAGCUCGGGGCCAAGCAAAGUCCCAGUCAUUCUAUAUAUGCACAGAACUAUGCUGGUUUGGUAAUACAGGGACACAAUUUAAUGAUUUUCUUUGCAUUUGUUUUUACAAGAUUCAGAUGCCAAAAACAAAACAGAACAUUAAGUUACCUGAUUUAAAAAAGAAAAUCACAAACGUUUACAACAUCAAAAGAAUAAGACGAAAUAUAAACCUUUGCUACUUACAAUUGAUCUAUACAGAUUAACCAAAUCACAAAUCUGUCACAAUAUAAAUGUUUAAUUGUUACAAUGAAUAAGAACAUACAGAAAAUGAUUUAUUUUUUUUUAUAAAAUCUUCCUUUGCUUUUUUAUUUUAAACUUACCAUUAACUAAAUUAGCUAUGCAGGACUUGUGGGGUACAUGACUAAGAAGGCACCAACAGUACAAAGCAAAGACAAAGCAGUUUGAGUAUUUUAAGAGUGCUCUACACUGAUACAACACGAGAAAAGGCAACAAUAGUAAGUAAACCAGCUGCAACCUGUAGAAGUUUGUUCUAGAUUUACAUAUGUAGUCCAACUUUUACAUUUCUGCCAAUGUGUCACUUGGUUUGAUCACAGCACAUGCUACAAAAACCACUGUAAGCUUCACUUUACUAAUGUGCACUUUUCGCUAAUUUAGUGUCUUGAUUUCAAUUGUUAACUAAACCAUUUUGAACCACAAAUGUAUUUAAAACUUAGUAAAAGGAUUGUUUGGACUUUUUCAUUUAAACCACUGCAUUUACAAAAAUAUUUCCCCUAAAAUCUGGGAUUGCUUGAAGACAUUGCUGUACAAAUAUAAAAGUACUAUGCAAGGGACCAAAUUCAUAAGUAUAUGGUGUGUAUGUAGAGACCUAUAUUUAUACCAUAUCACUGUGCUGUAACAACACAAUAAAUUUAUCAAUAACCAAGGACUAUAUAAACUACACUAACAUAAGCAAAUAUAUAUUAAUAAAGUUUAAAUCUAUAGUACAGUUGCUCAGCAAACAACUUUGACAUGGUAUAAAUAUAUCGUAGCAUAUUACAGUGGGCAGCAACAACAGGUUUUAGUUUCUCUCAUCCACAAGGAAAGCCCUGCUCAGCUCCUCGGGUUUGGCCACUGCCCAGUUAUGUCACCAGUGUUGCUCCCAAGCUCUGGCACAAACCAGGCUCUGGUGUCAUGUCACAGGGGUGAGGAAGAGGCUGGAAACAGGCAGGGCAGCAGAGGCAGACACUUAUUUGCCAAAGCAUCCAUGAGAAUUUUGGGUUUGCAUAUUUUUCUUCAGCUGUAAGGUUGGAAUGUUUUUGACAGUGAACUGUUUACAUUCCUUACUCCCAAAGCAUCUUUACCAUGAAAUAUGCAUGCUACUUGGAUUAAAAGUUGAUGUUCUCCGCUCUAAAAUAUAAAAACUGCAUAAAGAAAAAACCCCAGUGUAAAAUGAUGAAAUAACUGACCUAACACAGUGUUGUUAGAGGCACCUUCUUUUAAACUAGUUUCAGAAUCUGACAAAAAAAAAAAAAAUCAUGCUUCGGCAUGUGACACAUCAACAAAUUCAACCCACCAAUGUUUAUUGAACGCGGUAAAAGACUGAGGGAUGUGGUUACGGAUCCUGAGGGAUGCCAUGGGAUUCAGCAAGAGUAGCUAAGUAAGAAAGCCCGAAAGCACCAAACAUUAGGUAAAGCAAACCCUCGGCUUCUCACUCGGAGAGACGGGAUACAAGGGUAAGUCCACACCUCCCCAAACAUCCAAAAUGAAAGAAAGUAUUAAAAAAAAGAAUUGGGAAAGAGAAGGGUGAAGUAAGCUGCCAAAGUUCUUCCUUAAUAAAUUAAAACUGAGGUGUUACAAACUAAUUUCAGUAACAGUCAUCUUUCCAACCGUGCCAAAAAUGAUUCCUGUUGUAAUGAUGAUCAUACAAGUAGCAGAGAAUCUAGAAAUAUUUCAACUUUUCAAAACUGAGUGAGAAAAGCAUUUUGGUAAAGAUGUGUAGAAAGGUCAAGAGAAAUUUCUACACUAGUAUCAACAGUCAAGUGCAUAUUUCUUCUAUAGAAAUGUUUUAGCAUAGGUUCCACACCACGAUCCAACGGUCACUUGUGCAGCGUCCCGACAAUGCUCCGAAUUUGUUCCCCGCAACAGAGAUUUAUGUACCACAGGAAUUUCCUCAUAGAAAUGCCCUUUAAUGAUGAACUCCUGUUGAUUAAAAAUUAGUUUUGGCAGACUAACACUUAAACUAGAGGAAAAAGAAAAUUUUGAAAUGGAAUCUUGUAAGCACCCUUAUCUACUGAAGUCUAAAUUAAUGGCUUUCUAAUUUCUCUGAAGAGCAGACUAAAUGGUAUGAGGAAGCCUGGAGUUAUUAACCAGCCAGCAUCCUUAUAUACUACAGUAGCAAUUGAACCUGAUUUCCAUUCAAAGACAUUACCCAAGAGGAAACCAAAAACUAAUUCUUAAUGUUAAUGUGAAGAUAUAAGAUUUAAAUUUAUUUCCAGGAAUUACAAGUGCAUUUUGUUAAUAUUAGCAAGCAGUCUUUAUACAAUCCAUUCUUCACUGCUGCCAAAAUAAAAUGAGAAAAAGACAGCAGAGAUAUGAAAAGCUAAAAAUAGAACUAUUUUUCCUAAGUUAUUUGUUGAAUAGCAUUUCAGUUGAACACAACUCAGAGGUAACAAUAGAUUAUUUUUUUUUCUCAAUCAUAGGCAUGUGGCACUUAGACAAUCAUCUUUGCACAGAAAGCUUUAACAGUCAUGCGAGGGCACAGUAAUUAUUUUAAACAAGGCAAAUUUCUCACCACAGAGAGCAGUGGGGAAAGAAAAGGAGGCACUGCACUGGAACAUAACACCUAGUAAACUCCACAUUAUACAAUUUCAGUAACAAAUACUUGAAAAGAUCAUUAAAAGAUAUACAAUUUUAAACGUUAUUUAGUGCUAGCUUUGUUUGGUUGUCCUAACUCAGCAUUAUCAGAAAAGUUUGAUAGUACUUGACAACAGAACAGUACUUCAUGUCACGAGCUCAUGGAGGCUUGAUUACAAAUCACCAUAGUGUAGGUUGCAAGAAAUGAACUUGAGAUGCUGACAUGCUGUAGGAGCAAAAGUAAAAUCAAACUUUCUCAUUUAAAGAUGCAGUGUUCCUCUCUGCAAGAAUUCUGAAUGUCAGUGAUUAGACUCAAACGUAAAACCUAUCAAUCCUCAUUUGAAGCACUUCAUUGGUAUGCAGGAUGUAGACUGAGUUUAUUAACAUCAUAUUUUGGUUUCUUGCUUGCCACCAGAUAGGGCUGCCUUCCCCAGAGAGCAGCACUGGCCAUGGGGUCAUCGUGCCAUUGCGGGUUUCCUACCCUUCCACCUCAGGGGAACAGAGGCUGGGGAUGCCACGCUGCUCAUAGAAACACCACUACACGGGAUCAACUUCGGGAGUGCUAGGUCUCCAACAUGGUUAAACUUUAAAUGAUCUCUUUUAGAAAA